rnacentral:rRNA from 1 species
GACUAACCGUACGAACGUUAUUCGGAAUCACUGGGCUUAAAGGGUGCGUAGGCUGCGCGGAAAGUUGGGUGUGAAAUCCCUCGGCUCAACCGAGGAACUGCGCCCAAAACUGCCGUGCUCGAGGGAGACAGAGGUGAGCGGAACUUAGGGUGGAGCGGUGAAAUGCGUUGAUAUCCUAAGGAACACCGGUGGCGAAAGCGGCUCACUGGGUCUCUUCUGACGCUGAGGCACGAAAGCUAGGGUAGCGAACGGG